rnacentral:rRNA from 1 species
GUCUUCAUGUCUGGAAUAAUACGCCAAAGGGGUACGUAAUACCGGAUAUUCUUGCUUUUCAUAAGUUAUGCAAGCAAAGGUGGCCUCUGCAUAUGCUACUGCAUGAAGAGGGGUCUGCGUACCAUUAGCUAGUAGGUGGGGUAAUGGCCUACCUAGGCGACGAUGGUUAGCGGGUCUGAGAGGAUGAUCCGCCACACUGGCACUGGAACACGGGCCAGACUCCUACGGGAGGCAGCAGUGAGGAAUAUUGCGCAAUGGGGGAAACCCUGACGCAGCGACGCCGCGUGAGUGAGGAAGGCCUUCGGGUCGUAAAGCUCUGUCAAGAGGAAAGAAGUGUACAAUGGCUAAUACCUGUUGUAUUUGACGGUACCUCUAAAGGAAGCACCGGCUAACUCCGUGCCAGCCGCCGC